UUAAAAUGAACAGAUAUGUGUUAAUAUUCACUUUGUACAUUUUAAGUUGACAUUAAUGUAGUUAUUCUAUCCGGAUUAAUUUGAUUUAUAAAUCAAAACCAUUAGUCAAACUAAUUUCCUUUUCAAGAUGCCUGCCUCAUGGCUGGUCCAUACGUUUCACAAAAUGUCAAA